rnacentral:rRNA from 1 species
GACGAACGCUGGCGGCGUGCUUAACACAUGCAAGUCGAACGGAAAGGCCCUGCUUUUGUGGGGUGCUCGAGUGGCGAACGGGUGAGUAACACGUGAGUAACCUGCCCUUGACUUUGGGAUAACUUCAGGAAACUGGGGCUAAUGCCGGAUAGGAGCUCCUGCUGCAUGGUGGGGGUUGGAAAGUUUCGGCGGUUGGGGAUGGACUCGCGGCUUAUCAGCUUGUUGGUGGGGUAGUGGCUUACCAAGGCUUUGACGGGUAGCCGGCCUGAGAGGGUGACCGGCCACAUUGGGACUGAGAUACGGCCCAGACUCCUACGGGAGGCAGCAGUGGGGAAUAUUGCACAAUGGGCGGAAGCCUGAUGCAGCAACGCCGCGUGCGGGAUGACGGCCUUCGGGUUGUAACCCGCUUUCGCCUGUGACGAAGCGUGAGUGACGGUAAUGGGUAAAGAAGCACCGGCUAACUACGUG